GACGAACGCUGGCGGCGUGCUUAACACAUGCAAGUCGAACGCUGAAGCUCAGCUUUUGUUGGGUGGAUGAGUGGCGAACGGGUGAGUAACACGUGAGUAACCUGCCCCCUUCUUUGGGAUAACGCCCGGAAACGGGUGCUAAUACUGGAUAUUCACUGGUCUUCGCAUGGGGGUUGGUGGAAAGGGUUUUUCUGGUGGUGGAUGGGCUCGCGGCCUAUCAGCUUGUUGGUGGGGUGAUGGCCUACCAAGGCUUUGACGGGUAGCCGGCCUGAGAGGGUGACCGGUCACAUUGGGACGGAGAUACGGCCCAGACUCCGACGGGAGGCAGCAGUGGGGAAUAUUGCACAAUGGGCGAAAGACUGAUGCAGCGACGCCGCGUGAGGGAUGGAGGCCGUCGGGUUGUGAACCUCUUUCGCUAAUGGUCAAGCCGCAACAAUGGUUGUGGUGAGGGUAGUGGGUAAAGAAGCGCCGGCUAACUACGUG
rnacentral:rRNA from 1 species